GGAGAGGAAGAUUGUCCGGUGGCAUCCGCGGGCUUCAAACCCGUUGGAAGGCAGCAAACCUGUCUUCGGUAGGUUCGACUCCUACCCUCUCCGCCA
rnacentral:tRNA from 1 species